AGAAUGAAGUAUUGAAGUCUAAACGAUGCCGUCCUAAAAUAAAAGUAAGUUUGUGAAAUACUACAUCGGUUAGGUUCAGUUUCAUACGGAUUAAAAGUGUAGAAAUCUAAUUCGAUCAUAAAUAAUUAAUUUUUUACAAACUCUAAUCCGAUUUCAUCUGAUUUAUGUCUUUCAACUGAUCUAAACUGAUGUUUAUUAGAUUGGAUUGGAUAGAUUUUUUUGAGUUUCGAUUAUUUACUCAGCCCU
rnacentral:lncRNA from 1 species